CUACGGAACUCCUACGGGAGGCAGCAGUGGGGAAUAUUGCACAAUGGGCGCAAGCCUGAUGCAGCGACGCCGCGUGGGGGAUGAAGGCCUUCGGGUUGUAAACUCCUUUCGCUAGGGACGAAGCUUUGUGUGACGGUACCUAGAUAAGAAGCACCGGCUAACUACGUGCCAGCAGCCGCGGUAAUACGUAGGGUGCGAGCGUUGUCCGGAAUUACUGGGCGUAAAGGGCUCGUAGGUGGUUUGUCGCGUCGUCUGUGAAAUUCUGGGGCUUAACUCCGGGCGUGCAGGCGAUACGGGCAUAACUUGAGUGCUGUAGGGGUAACUGGAAUUCCUGGUGUAGCGGUGAAAUGCGCAGAUAUCAGGAGGAACACCGAUGGCGAAGGCAGGUUACUGGGCAGUUACUGACGCUGAGGAGCGAAAGCAUGGGUAGCGAACAGGAUUAGAUACCCUGGUAGUCCUCUUCGA
rnacentral:rRNA from 1 species